GUCACACCAUGGAAUUGGAUUGCACCAGAAGUAGAUAGUCUAACCUUCGGGAGGGCGUUUACCACGGUGUGCUUCAUGACUGGGGUGAAGUCGUAACAAGGUAUCCGUAGGGGAACCUGUGGCUGGAUCACCUCCUU
rnacentral:rRNA from 1 species